AACAUCGCGCACCUGCGGGAACCUGCGGAAGGAUCAUUAAAGAUGACGAUGCCCUCCUCAGGGAACUCCUCCCGGCGUCGCCGGGUGCACUCAUCUCUCCUUGUGAAAGACCCUUUGCUUAGGUAGCGUUCCCACCGGUUGGGUUGUCAGCCUACCUCUAGCCCGCGAUGAAAUCCGUGAGAUAUUACUUGAGACGUCUGAAGAGAAGCGAAUUUCGUAAAAACUUUUAACAAUGGAUCU
rnacentral:misc_RNA from 1 species